CAGGGAUUGCCCUAGUAACGGCGAGUGAAGCGGCAACAGCUCAAAUUUGAAAUCUGGCCUUCGGGUCCGAGUUGUAAUUUGCAGAGGAUGCUUUUGGCGAGGUGCCUUCCGAGUUCCCUGGAACGGGACGCCUUAGAGGGUGAGAGCCCCGUACGGUUGGACACCGAGCCUCUGUAAAGCUCCUUCGACGAGUCGAGUAGUUUGGGAAUGCUGCUCUAAAUGGGAGGUAAAUUUCUUCUAAAGCUAAAUACCGGCCAGAGACCGAUAGCGCACAAGUAGAGUGAUCGAAAGAUGAAAAGCACUUUGAAAAGAGGGUUAAAUAGCACGUGAAAUUGUUGAAAGGGAAGCGUUUACGGCCAGACCUUCUCCUGGCGGAUCAUCCGGUGUUCUCACCGGUGCACUUCGCCAGGUUUAGGCCAGCAUCGGCUUCUGUAGGGGGAUAAAAGCAGUGGGAAAGUAGCUCUCUCGGGAGUGUUAUAGCCCUAAGCAUAAUACCUUUACGGGGGCCGAGGACCGCGCUUCGGCAAGGAUGCUGGCGUAAUGGUCGUCAACGACCCGUCUUGAAACACGGACCAAGGAGUCGAACAUUUGUGCGAGUGUUUGGGUGUUAAACCCUCACGCGUAAUGAAAGUGAACGGAGGUGAGAGCCCUCUAGGGGGUGCAUCAUCGACCGAUCCUGAUGUCUUCGGAUGGAUUUGAGUAGGAGCAUUAAUGUUCGGACCCGAAAGAUGGUGAACUAUGCGUGGAUAGGGUGAAGCCAGAGGAAACUCUGGUGGAGGCUCGCAGCGGUUCUGACGUGCAAAUCGAUCGUCAAAUCUGCGCAUGGGGGCGAAA
rnacentral:rRNA from 1 species